AUGCCGGCUUCCGUUUCCCUUCUUCUCCUCCUUCCCCCUCCGUGUUGCUCGCGACGGCAAGGUCAGGAGAGAGACGAGUGCGGCGCCAGAAGAAGGCGGCGGCGGCGGAGGAGGACCCGGCGCCGUCUCCGGCCAUUUGAGCGGGGCACCAUGUCGAUGGAGGACAGCGCGCAGCCGGCCGGUGCCGCCAGCGCCGGCGAACGCGCGAGCUCGCCGUCGCCGUCGCGUCGGCUGCCGGACUUCCUGCAGUCGGUGCGGCUCAAGUACGUGAAGCUGGGGUACCACUACCUCAUCACCCACGGCAUGUACCUCCUGCUCACCCCGCUCAUCGUGCUCAUCGCCGUCCACCUCUCCACGCUCUCUCCGGGCGACGUCGCCGACCUGUGGACGCACCUCCGCUUCAACCUCCUCUCCGUCAUCGCCUGCUCCACGCUCCUCGUCUUCCUCUCCACCGUCUACUUCCUCACCCGCCCGCGCUCCGUCUACCUCGUCGACUUCGGCUGCUACAAGCCCGGCCCGGAGCGCCGGUGCUCGCGUGAAACCUUCAUGCGCUGCUCCAAGCUCACCGGCAACUUCACCGAAGCCAACCUCGAUUUCCAGCGCAAGAUCCUCGAGCGCUCGGGUCUGGGGGAGGACACUUACAUCCCUCCCGCCUUGGUCACCGUGCCGCCCAACCCCUCCAUGGAAUUGGCGCGCCAGGAGGCGCAGGUCUGCAUGUUUGGUGCCAUCGACAACAUGCUCGCCAAGACCGGGGUGAAGCCCAAGGACAUUGGGAUUCUUGUUGUGAAUUGCAGCCUGUUCAACCCAACACCGUCACUGUCCGCCAUGGUGGUGAACCAUUACAAGCUGAGAGGGAACAUAGUCAGCUACAAUCUGGGAGGAAUGGGGUGCAGUGCCGGGCUCCUGUCAAUAGAUCUGGCCAAGGAUUUGCUCCAGGUGCAUCCCAACUCGUAUGCGAUGGUGGUCAGCACCGAGAACAUUACCCUGAAUUGGUAUUUUGGGAACAACCGGUCGAUGCUUGUGUCGAAUUGCCUGUUCCGGAUGGGCUGCGCUGCGAUCCUGCUGUCGAACAAGCGGUCAGACAGGAGGAGGUCCAAGUACGAGCUGGUGCACACUGUGAGAACUCACAAGGGCGCAGAUGACAAGUGCUUCAGCUGUGUCACCCAGGAGGAGGAUGAUAGCGGCAAGGUUGGCGUGGCACUGUCGAAGGACCUCAUGGCGGUGGCUGGAGAUGCGCUCAAGACGAACAUCACAACGCUUGGCCCGCUUGUGUUGCCAUUCUCUGAGCAGCUGCUGUUCAUGGUCACAUUGGUUGGCAAGAAGCUGUUCAAGAUGAAGAUCAAGCCAUACAUUCCUGACUUCAAGCUGGCAUUCGAGCACUUCUGCAUCCACGCUGGUGGGCGCGCUGUGCUUGAUGAGAUAGAGAAGAACAUGGACCUCACCGACUGGCACAUGGAGCCGUCCCGGAUGACUCUCUUCCGGUUCGGCAACACGUCCAGCAGCUCGCUCUGGUACGAGCUGGCCUACAGCGAGGCCAAGGGGAGGAUCAGGAGGCGUGACAGGAUCUGGCAGAUAGCGUUCGGUUCGGGGUUCAAAUGCAACAGCGCUGUCUGGAAGGCGCUGAGGUCAGUGAACCCAGCGAAGGAGCAGAACAACCCCUGGAUGGACGAGAUCGACACAUUCCCGGUGGAUGUUCCCAAGGUUUCCAAGGUUGCUGAAUAG
rnacentral:rRNA from 1 species